rnacentral:rRNA from 1 species
AUGCAAGGAGGACAUCCAAUUGCGUAUCUCAGCAAAGCUUUGGCUCCGCGCAAUCUAGGCCUCUCGGCGUACAAAAAAGAGUGCCUGGCCUUGCUUAUCGACCACUGGCGGCCCUACUUGCAACAUUCAGAUUUCGUGGUUCAUACAGAUCAAAAAAGCCUGUUGAACUUGACAGAUCAACGACUCAAUACACCGAUUCAACAACGGGCGUUUACAAAACUGAUCGGCCUGCAAUACACCAUCCAGUACAAGACAGGAGUCACAAAUCGAGCGGCAGACGCACUGUCGCGACGCGAGCACAAAUCAGAAUCAGAGAUGGCAGCGAUAUCUGUAUGUAAACCUACGUGGUUGGAAACUAUCAAACGCAGCUAUCAAGCAGAUCCAGCGGCGCAGCAGCAUAUGACAAAGCUAGCCCUAGCGCCGGACAGCGAGCCCGAAUACACUUUGCAGGAUGGCAUCCUGCGCUUUCAUGGGAGAGUGUGGAUUGGGGAAGAUACUGAAAUCCAACUGUUGGAAAUAUGCCCUAGAGGCAAUAAUAAAUUAGUUAUUAUUAUAUUUCCUUGUUCAUGA